GUGUCAGCAGCCGCGGUAAGACAGAGGGGGCAAGCGUUGUCCGGAAUCACUGGGCGUAAAGCGCACGCAGGCGGCACGGUAAGUGGUGUGUGACAGCGGACGGCUUAACCGUCCGAGGCCAUGCCAGACUGCCGGGCUUGAGCCGUGCAGAGGUCAGCGGAAUUGCCGGUGUAGGAGUGACAUCCGUAGAGACCGGCAGGAACACCGAAGGGGAAGCCAGCUGACUGGGCACGAGCUGACGCUCAGGUGCGAUAGCGUGGGGAGCAAACCGGAUUAGAUACCCGGGUAGUCC
rnacentral:rRNA from 1 species